AUUGAACGCUGGCGGCAGGCCUAACACAUGCAAGUCGAGCGGAGCGGCGGACGGGUGAGUAAUGCCUAGGAAUCUGCCUGGUAGUGGGGGAUAACGUCCGGAAACGGGCGCUAAUACCGCAUACUAUCAGAUGAGCCUAGGUCGGAUUAGCUAGUUGGUGUGGUAAAGGCCUAGCAAGGCGACGAUCCGUAACUGGUCUGAGAGGAUGAUCAGUCACACUGGAAAGGAGACACGGUACAGACUACGACGGGAGGCAGCAGUGGGGAAUAGUGGACAAGGGGCGAAAGCCUGAUCCAGACAUGCCGCGUGUGUGAAGAAGGUAUUGGGAUUGUAGAGCUCUUUAAGUUGGGAGGCGUUACCAACAGAAUAAGCACCGGCUAACUUCGUGCCAGCAGCCGCGGUAAUUC
rnacentral:rRNA from 1 species